GAUCAAAAUUAACAUCCGAUAAAAUUGGAACGAUACAGAAAAGAUUAGCAUGGCCCCUGCGCAAGGAUGACACUCACAAAAAGAGAUCAAAAUUGAACACUA